rnacentral:tRNA from 2 species
GGAGACGUAUCGAAGAGGCCAUAACGAGACUGACUCGAAAUCAGUUUGCCGGGCAACUGGCACGAGGGUUCGAAUCCCUCCGUCUCCG